AAAAACUAGUUAAAUCUAAAUAACAAAAGAAUGUCAUUCUUUAAUUACCUAUCAAAAAGUGUUUUUU
rnacentral:tRNA from 1 species